GUUCACCGCAACACGCUGACAACGAUUCACACGUUCACAACAAUUCACACGUUCACCGCAACACGCUGACAACGAUUCACACGUUCACCGCAACACGUUGACGAUUCACAGGUUCACCGCAACACGUUGACGAUUCACACGUUCACCGCAACACGCUGACAACGAUUCACACGUUCACUGCAACACGC